rnacentral:rRNA from 1 species
AUUGAACGCUGGCGGCAUGCCUUACACAUGCAAGUCGAACGGCAGCGGGCCUUCGGGUGCCGGCGAGUGGCGAACGGGUGAGUAAUGCAUCGGAACGUGCCAUUGAGUGGGGGAUAACGUAGCGAAAGUUGCGCUAAUACCGCAUAUUCUGUGAGCAGGAAAGCAGGGGACCGCAAGGCCUUGCGCUCUUUGAGCGGCCGAUGUCAGAUUAGCUAGUUGGUGAGGUAAAGGCUUACCAAGGCGACGAUCUGUAGCGGGUCUGAGAGGAUGAUCCGCCACACUGGAACUGAGACACGGUCCAGACUCCUACGGGAGGCAGCAGUGGGGAAUUUUGGGACAAUGGGGGGCAACCCUGAUCCAGCCAUGCCGCGUGAGUGAAGAAGGCCUUCGGGUUGUUAAAGGACUCUUUCGGUCCCGGGAAGAAAUACGCAUGGGCUAAUACCCUCGUGUGGAUGACGGUACCGGAACAAGAAGCACCGGCUAACUACGUAGCCAGCAGCCG